rnacentral:lncRNA from 1 species
GUACCUCGGUGAUGUGACUGUACUGCCUGGGCCCUGCCCACGGUAGGUAUUGUGACAUACCUCUGAACUCGUUGCCUAGGUGAUGUGACUUUUUUCUUUUGCCUGCAUUCUGCCCCUUGAAAAUGGACUGUGACAUACCACAGGCCCAAGUACUUAGAUGAUAUGAUUCUCCUCUUCUGCCUGGGUCAUGGCAACAGGAGGAUGAAUUAUUUUAGCAAGCCCAGAUUACAGGUAAGAGAGGAGAGUCAUAUCACCUAGACGCUGGUCCUAGAGAUAUGCCACAAUCUAUUCUAUGGGCACAGUUCAGUUUCAGAUAUGACAGUCAACACAUCCUGAAUGUUGGGUCCAACUACAUGAGGCACGUCUCAUCAGUGAACCAGAUCUAUGCG